AACGAACGCUGGCGGCGGGGUUUAGGCAUGCAAGUCGAGCGAGAAAGGGGCAACCCGAGUAAAGCGGCGUAAGGGUGAGUAAUAGGUAGUUCACGUAUCCUGCAGACGCGGAUAAUUUCCCGAAAGGGAUUGUAAUACGCGAUGAGACCACAGCUGAUCCGUCAGCCGGGGUCAAAGGUUCGGGAUCCUUCGGGACCGAGCGCUGUUUGAGCGGACGACCUCCGAUUAGCUAGAUGGCGGGGAACGGCCCACCAUGGCGAUGAUCGGUAGCCGGCCUGAGAGGGUGUCCGGCCACACUGGGACUGAGACACUGCCCAGACUCCUACGGGAGGCUGCAGUCGCGAAUCAUUCACAAUGGGCGCAAGCCUGAUGAUGCCACGCCGCGUGCGGGAUGAAGGCCCUUUGGGUUGUAACGCUGUCAAGGGAGGGAAACGUACGUCGCGAACAGCGGCGUGCUUGACUGCUCUCUAAAGGAA
rnacentral:rRNA from 1 species